rnacentral:lncRNA from 1 species
ACUGUUCACAAACAACUUUUUUUUUACCAAAUUUUAUUUUAAAUAAUUUAAUUUUUUAAAUUUUAAAUUUUAAAUUUUAACAAAAAUAUAAAUUUAAUAUUUUAAUUUAAAAUAUAAAUAUGAAAUUUCUAAAUUUAAAAUCUAAAAUAUAAAUAUAAAUAUAUAUAAAAUAAAAAAUUAAAAUCUAAAUUUAAAAUUCAAAAUUUAAAAUACAAAUUUGUAUUUUAAAAUUUAAAAUUUAAAAUUUGAAAUUUGAAAUUUGAAAUUUAAAAUUUAAAAUUUAAAAUUUAAAAUUUAAAAUUUGAAAUUUAAAAUUUAAAAUCUGAGAAAUUUAAAAUUUGAAAUUUAAAAUUUAAAACUUAUAAUUUAAAAUCUAAAAUUUAAAUUUAAAUUUAAAAUUUAAAAUUUAAGUUUGAAGUUUAAAAAUUAAAAUUUAAAAAUUUAAAAAUUAAAAAUUAAAAAUUAAAAGUUGAGAAUUCAAAAUUUUAAAUUAAUUUUUUUAAAAUUAACGUAUUGAAAGGGUUUUGAGAGUUAGGGGGUAAAAUUGUCAUUUUACAUAAUAUGAGCAUUACCGGUUUUCAGUAAUGCAAGAUACACGACCCCCCUCUUGUUAAUAUUUUCGGUGUAAUCCUGCUUGAUUUGUAAUACUACAUUAACAACUAGAUUACAGAGCGGAUGAACCAAACACGGUAAUCUUGACAGGAUUGCCUGUAAUCCUAUCAGGAUAACUUGAACCAAACGCACCCUUAACUUAAGGGCAAAUAAGAAAAAUAGGUAAUGAUAGAAGAAUACAUUUGAAAUGACAAAAUAAUAAUUUUACAGAGAUAAUGAUUUUUGCUAAUAGUUUACAAACAGAAUUUAACUGUAAUAGUAUAUUUAAGAUAACUUGGAAUAUUAAAAAAAUAAUUUUAAUAUUAGCCUUCUAAAUGGGAUAAAUUAGAAUGUCGAAAUUUUUUUACAAAUAUAUAAGCAAUUGUCCCUAUUAUUAUUAU